UAUGUGAUCGUCUCUCGCAUAUCAAUAAGCGGAGGAAAAGAAACUAACAAGGAUUCCCCUAGUAACGGCGAGUGAAGCGGGAAGAGCUCAAAUUUGAAUCUUAAAGGGUUUCCCUUUACGAAUUGUAGUUUAAAGAAGUGUUUUCUGUUGAGGUUUUGGUAAAAGUUCUUUGGAAUAGGACAUCAUAGAGGGUGAGAAUCCCGUAUUUGACCUUUACUUUCAACUUUGUGAUACACUUUCAAAGAGUCGGAUUGUUUGGGAAUGCAGUCCAAAAUGGGUGGUAAAUUUCAUCUAGAGCUAAAUAUUGGCGAGAGACCGAUAGCGAACAAGUACCGUGAGGGAAAGAUGAAAAGAACUUUGAAAAGAGAGUUAAACAGUACGUGAAAUUGUCAAAAGGGAAGCGUUUGACACCAGUGUUGUUUUUCUGAAAAUCAAUUAAAGAACUGUUUAUGCUAAGUUGCUUAGACUUUAUCAGCUACUCGUUUAGUUUUGAGCUUUUCUUUAAUGCACUUUUCAGUUAACAAGUCAACAUCAAUUUCUUUUGCUGUAAAAAAGCUUGAGGAAGGUGGCUUGAGAUUCGUCUUAAGUGUUUAUAGCCUCUUGCCUAUGCAGUCGGAGAGAUUGAGGUCUGCAGCGUAGAUCCUUCGGGGCUAAAUGCAUUUGUGCUAAGUUAUAGCAUUUUAUAGACAACUUGUUGACUAUGAUUUGUCUUGUAGCUUACUCGCUUAUGUUAUUUUACCUACGCUUAGGAUGUUGAUAUCGCGCUCUCACUG
rnacentral:rRNA from 1 species